rnacentral:rRNA from 1 species
AUUGAACGCUGGCGGCAUGCUUUACACAUGCAAGUCGAACGGUAACAGGUCUUCGGAUGCUGACGAGUGGCGAACGGGUGAGUAAUACAUCGGAACGUGCCUAGUAGUGGGGGAUAACUACUCGAAAGAGUAGCUAAUACCGCAUGAGAUCUACGGAUGAAAGCAGGGGACCUUCGGGCCUUGUGCUACUAGAGCGGCUGAUGGCAGAUUAGGUAGUUGGUGGGGUAAAGGCUUACCAAGCCUGCGAUCUGUAGCUGGUCUGAGAGGACGACCAGCCACACUGGGACUGAGACACGGCCCAGACUACUACGGGAGGCAGCAGUGGGGAAUUUUGGACAAUGGGCGAAAGCCUGAUCCAGCAAUGCCGCGUGCAGGAUGAAGGCCCUCGGGUUGUAAACUGCUUUUGUACGGAACGAAAAGCCUGGGGCUAAUAUCCCCGGGUCAUGACGGUACCGGAAGAAUAAGCACCGGCUAACUACGUG